UUUCAUCAACGAAUCAAACCGAAGCACCUCUGCGAUUUCAGAAAUAGAAUCAAUCGAGCGAUGAAGAUCGAUCACAGAGUGAUGAAAAUCCCGCCGGCGAUUAAGAUUACGAUGAUUAAUCAGAGCAGAGUCGUGUGAUUGAAUCUGGGUUUUGAUCGCUUCAAAUCGUUUUUACAAAUCCUUCAGAGGCGUGUAAUUGAAUCUGGGGGCCGAGAUCGCUUCAAAUCGUUUUCACAAACUCUUCUGAUUACGCACAAAAUUUUGUAGGCAAGAUACUUUUUCCAGUAGCUUAUAUCAGGAGUCAGCUAUUGCCACCUAUGAAAAUUUGCCACAGAGAUCUGAAGCUUGAAAAUUCCCUCUUGGAUGGUUCUUCCAAGUCCUCACUGUUGCACUCUAGGCCCAAAUCAACUGUUGGAACUCCUGCAUAUAUAUAUUGCACCUGAGGUUCUUUCUCGCAGAGAGUAUGAUGGCAAGAGUUGCAGGAAAACAUCAUAAAGCUUUCUGAUCAGCCUAUCGCAGCAGAGAAGAUAAAAGAGAGUUGUUCAAAAAGAGCUUGAUAGACUAAGGAGCUGCAAAGAAUUUGAAGGUGACUUAGUACAGUCAAGAAAAAGGGACGCUUUGAAGAAGAAACUGAGGUUACGGUAUCGCCCUCUCUCAUAAAAAUCAUAGCCAGAAAGCUUCUUACAAUCAAAACAUGAAAAAAAACUAACGCACGAAAACGUAACACAACCAAAACAAAAACUUCAUAAAACACGCACAAAGAAAAUACAAAAAUGCAAAAACGAAUUCCACAACUUCACCGUCACACAAACUCCAAGGUCACACAAACUCCACGUUCACAUAAACUCCACGUUCACAUAAACUCCACGUUCACAUAAACACCACGUUCACAUAAACUCCACAUUCACAUUAACUCCACGUUUCACAUAAGCUUGUUACUUUCCUCUCUGUUUCAAGUGUGGAUGAACAAAACGUUUGUAUUUUAUUUGCUCUAUGUUAUUCUGUUUGUGUGACUUACUAAUAAAGGUCAUUGAUUUCAAGAGAAAUAGAUAAGGUGGACUAGAGAAGAUUAAGCUUUGCUAUUACUAGUAGCUUCCAACAAUGCCUUACUUGUCAAUCUAAUGUGAGUUGAGCAAGCAACCAACUGUCGACAGGGAGAAUUCUGUAACUUUGUUAUCUUAGGUUUCAUGAUCUUUUAAAUAUAUACUUUUUCUGUAGCUUGUAUUAACUUAUUUCUACUUGAAACCAGCUUUUCAAUAAGAAGAGAGGAUAAGUUUCAGAUGUUCAUGAAUGAUAAGUUAAUCAUGCUAAAUCUUAAUCAAUGAAUAUAACUUCGUGUGAGCAUGGCAAUGUAUAAAUUAAGGAGUUGGUAAAGCCUAAAGAGGCUUGUAUAAGUUUCGGACUAACAACAUUUAAUGAUGUCAAUGACAUAUUAGAAGUCUUGUGAAUAUGGGAGGGCUGAGCAUUUUUUCAGUUCUUGAUAAGUUUUUUCCCAGGGAUUUUUCAAAUCAUAAAUCUACGAGGUUAAUGGAUCAUAAAUCUUCACAGUUUAUGGUUAAUGUAGAAUAUUUAAAGUUCUGGAAAAUAGCUUGAUUGGGUAUGUCUCAAGAUCUCUUAGGAAAAGAACAAUGGCUAGUGAGGACUUGCACUGAGGUACAUUUUCUUGUCAAACAUCUUUUUAAGUAAAACUGUGUUGCUACCAUUUUCAGAAGCUUGUUAAUAUCUUUUGUGGCCAAUGUGGCUGAACAUAGGAAUUGUCACUAGCUUUGAUGAAGAAACUGAGGUUAUGGUAUCGCCCUCUCUCAUAAAAAACAUAGCCAAAAAGCUUCUGACAAUCAAAACAAGAAAAACACUAACGCACGAAAACGUUAAACACAACCAAAACAAAAACUUCUUAAAGCACGCACAAAAAAAUACAAAAAUGCAAAAACGAUUUCCACAACUUCACCGUCACACAAACUCCACCGUCACACAAACUCCACGUUCACAUAAACUCCACGUUCACAUAAACUCCACAUUCACAUUAACUCCACGUUCACAUUAACCCACUUCUUCACGUUCACAUAGAGUUUGCUACUUUGAUUCCUCUGCAACACAUUGGAUAUGAUUGUAUUUGGCUCAGUUACACUCCAGUCUCUUGGAAUUCUACCAAGACAACUCAGUUUUAAGACAACUGGUUCAGAAUCGUCAUAUACAUCAGGCGAUCCAAAUAUUAUCUUCUAUUCUCUUCUAUGCCUACAUUUAUUUUGCAGAAUUCAAAAAACUCAAGAGGAAUGAGAGAAGAAAAGAACAAUGGUAGUGAGGACUUGCACCGAGGAAUUGUCACUCACGUUCAUUCGGGGAUGGGAACAGAAUCGUUGUGCCAAUAGUUAUGAUACGCAUAUGCAUCAUGCCAAGGGAAAGAAAUAAUGUAUUCAGGAGCUUAUUCAAGACCACUUCUGCGUCUGGGAAAACAUUUAGUGAAAUCUGUAGCAUUACAAAAAACGUCAAUCAAGUGAGCUCUAAAAGAGAAUUUGGCAGAGUUCGUUUGACGGUGCAUUACCCGAACUUAGAUUUGUUUGUUAGAUACUGCGCUAUCGUGGCCAUAGCAACUUACAACGCUACAAGGCUUGUGAAUAUAGGAAAGCCAAGCAUUUUUUUCGUUAUGUUCUGUUAAGGACUUAAAGAUAUCACUGAAAAAAUUAAAAGUUUCGUGGAUAUGGAAGAUUCAAGCAUUUCCUUGCUAAGGUUUAGGUGAGAAGCAACCUCAUCUCGUCUGAGUGUAGAUCAGCAUCGAAUUUGAAGAUCAUUUGGUGUAGUCGAGAAGAAGUGACUCUUGGAUGACGUAACUGAGUUACGGUAAACUUAACACAAAAACACAAAACACAGCCAAAACUACAAAAAGUAAUAAAGAAAAAGGAAAUACACAAAUUCAAUUAAAAAAAAUGCAGAAAUAAACUCAUCUACUUCACGAUCACAUAAAUUCCACAAUUUCACGAUCACAUACACUCCACAACUUCACGAUCCUCCACAAUUUCACGAUCACAUAAAUUCCACAAUUUCAUGACCACAUAAUUUUCACAACUUCACGAUCACAUAAUCACAUAAACUCCUUUCAUGACCACGUAAACAUGACGACGCCACGAUCACAUAGAGUUUGAUUCCCCUUGUAACAGUUUCAAUUUAGAUUUUUUUGCUUAUGUUUUUUUUAGUAUCGAAGACUUGUAUAAUUGUGACUCUGUUCUUGUUUAGAAAUCUCCAUUCUUGUAAUAUUUUAUUGUUAUCAAUUGUUACCGUGCUAUUUUUCUUCA